rnacentral:rRNA from 1 species
AGGAUGAACGCUGGCGGCGUGCCUAAUACAUGCAAGUCGAGCGGUAAGGCCCCUUCGGGGGUACACGAGCGGCGGACGGCUGAGUAACGCGUAGGAACCUACCCCGAAGUGAGGGAUAAGCACCAGAAAUGGUGUCUAAUACCGCAUGUGCUCUUAGGAGUAAAGCUUCGGCGCUUUGGGAAGGGCCUGCGUAUGAUUAGCUUGUUGGUGAGGUAAAAGCUCACCAAGGCGACGAUCAUUAGCUGGUCUGAGAGGAUGAUCAGCCAGACUGGGACUGAGAACGGCCCAGACUCCGUACGGGAGGCAGCAGUAGGAUUUUCCACAAUGGGAC